rnacentral:rRNA from 1 species
AUUGAACGCUGGCGGCAUGCCUAACACAUGCAAGUCGAACGGCAACACGGAGAUCCUUCCUUCUUCGAUUUCGAGACGGGGGCGUGAGUGAUAUGUACGUGAACCUUCGCGAGGGAUGAGGACACGUACUGGAAACUGAAACCAAUAACGCCCUACGUCGGAAACCCAGGAAUCGUGAGAUUCGGGCCUCUUGGCUCCGGCUAUAUCGGAUUAGCUAGUUGGUGGGGUAACGGCUCACCAAGGCGACGAUCCCGAGCUGGUCUGAGAGGAUGACCAGCCACACUGGAACUGAGACACGGUCCAGACUCCUACGGGAGGCAGCAGUGGGGAAUUUUGGACAAUGGGCGCAAGCCUGAUGCAGCCAUGCCGCGUGUGUGAUGAAGGCCUUCGGGUUGUAAAGCACUUUUAGCAGGGAAGAAAAGAGGAGGGUUAAUACCUCGACGCAUUGACGGUACCUGCAGAAUAAGCACCGGCUAACUACGUG